rnacentral:rRNA from 1 species
UACGUAGGGUGCAAGCGUUGUCCGGAUUUAUUGGGCGUAAAGAGCUCGUAGGCGGCUCGUCGCGUCGACUGUGAAAACUCGGGGCUUAACCCCGGGCUUGCAGUCGAUACGGGCGGGCUAGAGUUCGGUAGGGGAGACUGGAAUUCCUGGUGUAGCGGUGAAAUGCGCAGAUAUCAGGAGGAACACCGGUGGCGAAGGCGGGUCUCUGGGCCGAUACUGACGCUGAGGAGCGAAAGCGUGGGGAGCGAACAGG